GAGGAGCCAGCCAGAUGACGAGGCUCAGGUCACUGUUUUGUGGGGUUCGUCCCACAUACUAGAGCUGACAAACGCCAUAUUCACGCCAAGGAAUUUUGAAAGCAAAUAUGUCACAUUAAUGAUGAUGACGAUGACGACGACGACGAAGAUGGUCAGAAAAUGAUUAGGAAAGAACACCCUGGCAGCCUUUGUUGCUAGAAUCUGCUCAUGGGCAAAUGGCAAAGCUAUUCACAU
rnacentral:lncRNA from 1 species